GUGAAGGUGGCGGAAUUGGUAGACGCGCUAGCUUCAGGUGUUAGUGUUCUUACGGACGUGGGGGUUCAAGUCCCCCCCCUCGCACCA
rnacentral:tRNA from 4 species